CCUGAGAAACCCGAAAGAUCGAAUGGGGAGAUUCAUCGUCCAGCGAUUCUUGGCGCUUGUGCGGUUCGCGAUGCCCGCGUCGACCCUCGCGGUCGUUCGCGCGGCACGCGUCCGCAUGUUUUACCCUGUCGGAAUCGUCGGCGUGCACUUCUCCCCUAGUAGGACGUCGCGACCCGUUGGGUGUCGGUCUACGGCCCGGGUGGGCGCCUGUCACGCGUUUGCGCGCCUCGCGGCGUUGCGCGCGGGGCAGACCCCCGGCUGCCCGACCGGCUGCCCGGCGGUACUCGCAUGGUAUCUGGCCGCAAAUAUUCGAACUGCGUCCGGCCCGUCGCAAGCGGGGCAAGUGUUUUCCCGGAUGCGCGGAUCUAACGCCGUCACCGGGCCUUGCCAGCUGUUGGCCGACGGUGCUCUGGGACCGGCCAAUGAACCCAUAACAUUAUGAUACCGGUCGGCGACGCUACUGCUUUGGGUACUUUCAGG
rnacentral:rRNA from 1 species